AUUGAACGCUGGCGGCGUGCUUUACACAUGCAAGUCGAACGGCAGCGCGGGCUUCGGCCUGGCGGCGAGUGGCGAACGGGUGAGUAAUAUAUCGGAACGUACCCAAGAGUGGGGGAUAACGUAGCGAAGUUACGCUAAUACCGCAUACGAUCUAAGGAUGAAAGCAGGGGAUCGCAAGACCUUGUGCUCCUGGAGCGGCCGAUAUCUGAUUAGCUAGUUGGUGGGGUAAAGGCCCACCAAGGCAACGAUCAGUAGCUGGUCUGAGAGGACGACCAGCCACACUGGAACUGAGACACGGUCCAGACUCCUACGGGAGGCAGCAGUGGGGAAUUUUGGACAAUGGGGGCAACCCUGAUCCAGCAAUGCCGCGUGAGUGAAGAAGGCCUUCGGGUUGUAAAGCUCUUUUGUCAGGGAAGAAAAGGUCGUGGCUAAUAUCCACGACUGCUGACGGUACCUGAAGAAUAAGCACCGGCUAACUACGUGCCAGCCGCCGCGGUAAAAC
rnacentral:rRNA from 1 species